rnacentral:lncRNA from 1 species
UUUGUGUACAGGUUUAGAAAUAGAUUAUACAUAAAAAUAAUCCACUGAUAUUCACACAAAAACGGGUGUAAAUUUAUGUAAUGCUGAUGUAAAUAUUCAGUGUUAAUGACGCAUUUCUAUUUAUGGGAAUUUAAUGUUCAAAUAUCUAUUAAACGCAGUAGGUGUGUUAAAAUUAUGAAUAUUUUGAAGUGAAAAUUUUGUUCUAUUUGAAUAUAAGCUACGGACGAAAUUGGAUAUAAAAAAUAUUUGUUCAAACUUCGAAUAUUUUUGAAGAAACCUCAAGAUGUAUUAUUGUCAUGACCUGGGAUGAUCAGCCUACAGCACAACUAGGAGCAAAUGUGUGUGAUCAGCGGUGUGUUUUUCUGGAAAUGAACCAAAAUAGACAAACCAGAACUGAAAUACCACCAAGUCCCAGAACAAGACAGCAGUUUGAAACCAAAUGUAACCUUGGGGAUCUUAUGACAAAGUUUUAGUAAAAAUGACGUUCCAUCAAAAUAACAAGCUGAAAUAUUCUCUCAUAAAUGGUCACACUCUGAUAUUGAAGUUCUUUGGGAAAAUGCAUUUGCUAGUUUAUAAAAUGGUUCAGAAAAUAAAGGAUUAGAUAAAUAAGAUACACGAAUGUGUAUAUGUGUUAACAUUGACGCCACCGGUAUAACUAUGGUACAGGUGGACACCCUGCGUCCAUUUCCUUCAUCAAUGCGUGUUAACCUACAAUACCUGAUCAACUUUAAAGAUAAUAAGGUACAGCUGUAAAGCAAACUGCAACAAGAAACGAUGUACAUGUAGCAAACAUUGACUAACAUUGACUAACAUGUGGUGACUGCAGAUUGAUAAGCUGUAACAAUGAGGAUAAAUUUAACCCUUACCCUGCUAAAUUCCUAUAAUGAACUUGUCCAUUUUUCAAUUUGGACAGUACUGUAGACAUUAACUGUUAAAAGGUGUGCUUACCAAAAAGAUACUGACUGAAUGGCGAAAGAGCAGAUCAUGAUCGGACUGCACGAAUCAUGAUCUACACUGGUUGCAAUGGCAGAAUCAGUCGUGUUCAGCAGGAUAAGUGUUAAAUGAAAUCUUGAUUGAGUGGUGAGAUUCAAACAGUAUGGAUGUGGAGAAAGACACUAAGUUUUACGUGUCUCUUUGCCGUUGAUGAAAUCUAUACCAAGGAGAAGGGUUGUGAAAUUGAGAAUUACUGAAAAUAGUUUAUUGUUAAUAUAUACAUGAACCAGUUGUUACUUAUUCUAUUUCAUUUGCUAAAACAGAUCGAAAGUGUACAGUUUAGAUUGUUAGCUAGUAUUUUGCAAUAUAUGUAACAGUAUGAAUUCUUACGUGCUAGACACAUAAUCAAAUAUUUUAAGUAGAGAAAUGGCCACUCUUUUUGUAUACAGUUAGCAAGCAACAUCAGAGGUUUAUAUCAAAAUCUCAAAGAAAUUAGAGCACAGUUCUUUUUUGAAUUUUUGCACACAUUUUCUUCAGCACCAAUGUUAUAAGUUGUGGAAAAAUGUGCUGAAUGAUUGUCUAGAAGUGUACAUUCCAGAAUUUUUUUCUGCUACAAGAUUUGAAUUUACCUCUCAGAUGAUUGGCAGCUUCUACAUUAGACGACAGCUAAUCAUGUAACAGCAGUUGUAUGAGUUACACUCUCUAAGAAUCAUUUGACAUUAAGCGGGAAGUUUUCAGAUGUUUAUGAAAUGUAUUAAUGAAUUACAUAGAAAACUAUUGUCCAAAAAAGCAUGGCUUUCAGGAAUGGAAUGUGAACAGCUAUCUUCUGAUUUAUUGAUAACAAUACACAGUAAUGCACUGGUCAUUUUUAUUUUGUAUGAACAAUUAAAUUUACUUUGUGUUAUAGAUGGGAUUUGUGACGGCAAGGAAAUAAAGGAGUAUGAGGCAAUUACUAAAUUAUACAUGUAGAAAACAUUAUCUGGAAAAAAGACAUACUGGUUUUUCAAUCUGAUCAAUGGAAAACAAAAUAAUUCUCAAGCCUUCGAAUACUUUCAAGGAUAUUACAACACUAGCUGACAUUAGCUGGGUACUAGAUACAAUGGAUCAUUAAUUAUGCAGUUACUGUAAUUUUAAGUGGAACAUAAGUCUCAUUUAUGUGGAAAUGGGUUGAGAUCCAAGAUGAGCUCUGGCAUGAGAAGAUAGACUAAACUAAUGCCUGUAAUUGCUCGAAGAUUGCUAAGUAUGCUAUUCUUUUAAAAUAAUGCAAAAUGAAAUAUAAAAACACUAUCUGUUAGUAAAUUGUUUUUUAUUUAUAGAGCAUAAAUCCAUUUCAAGUACUAUUCAAUGUACAGUUUAAUAGAAAUUAAAUGUCAUGCAUGUCAU